CUUUAGUACAGCCUGCUCUUCCUUUGUUGCUUCCAGUUGCAUUACUGAGCAUAAUGAAAACUGCAUGGUUAGCAUGUAUGUUGAAGCAAAAGUUUCAAAGAGAAAGGCUUGAAGGUGCCUAUCUAGUGAUAAGUAUCUGUAGGGGAGCAUCUGGGCAGAUUAUCCAAAGCCACUAGGAGCUGGCACAGAAAGGAUGGUGUGGUGACAAGUCAUGUUUGCAGCCACAGGAACAAAGAUCUCAGUGAAGAAGUCUGGAGCCCAAGACGAACAAUACUGGAGUGAGAGGCCAUGCCAGCUGUGAGCGGAAAUGGCCACUGGGAGCCAUGCACACAUGGGUUGUUGAAGUGUGAAUGGCCGAGCUCGG
ensembl:lncRNA